AAUCAUUCUAGUGAUGACACAUGGCUACAAAAAGAAGUUGUAAUGUUUCACAAAUAAUAUAUAGGGGAUAUUAUAUAACUGAAUCAAUUUAUAAUAAUUGUGGAAUAGUUAUUAGUUAGUACACAAAAACUAUAAAAUAAAUUAAGAUUCGGCACAUUUAAAUAUUUAAUAAUAAAUAGUAAAUUAAAAAAAAUCAACAAAAAUUUUCUAUCGUGGAUGGUAAUAUAUACAUGUUUAAUAUUUUUGUAUCAAGAGUAAAAGUACUAAUAAAGUUACCAAAAAAAAAAGAGUAAAAAGUAAUAACAAGUGUCACUUACUACCUACCUCUCUAGUCGCGGUUAACAAAGCAAGAGUUUUUUUUUACUUUAUAACAUAUAUUAUUCAUGAUCUUUAUCGAUAGAUAGUGAAAGAAAGCAAUGUGUGGUGGUGAAAGACUUAAAAAUGAAAAAGCAAAAGACAAAUAAAUUAGGGGGAUGGGGAAAAAAGUAAAUCACGAGAGGAAGCGAAGCCAUUGGUAACAAGCGUGAGUCUGAGAUUUGUAUAAAGUUUAAUAGUGACUUCUCACUACCACAUUUCAUAUCUCCCUUUCAGAAAAAAAAAAAAAAAAACAAGAAACAUUAUGUUCAUUGUAUCCUUUAUAAGAACAAUUCUAUUGAUUUUACUAUAAUAUUGAUUGAUAAUUCUUGUAAUUGCAGAGUAAUUCUACAACUGGUUUCUGUAAUUUUUACCAGUCUCAAAACAUACCAAAUAUCGAUUUACAAUUUUUCUAUUUAAAUUAGAAUAUUUGCACUCUCUACCCACACAAUUAACCAUAUUUAGUGGUCUACCUAAAUACACUGUUGGCCACUGCCUUUAUUUUAAAGUUUUGUUCACUUUAUCGUCACUAUUUUCCUCAAAGUUUGACUGUGUUAGACAGAUUCUUAAUAGAUAAAUUAGGAUAGAUAUACACAUUUCGCACCAAUAUUAGGAAACUACCUGAUCUCUAUUUGUGCAUUGUGCAAUUUUGAUUAAUACCAUUUUAUCCCUACUCACUAAUGAAGGUACAAAAUCCUAUGGAAAGAUACGAUUUUAUUUCAGAUGAAAAGAGGAAAAUAGUAAAAUAAAAAAUAUGGGAGACACCAAAGAGAGAGAUACGAUAGAGAAAACAAAUGAAAGGAGGAAAGAAAGAAGAAGACGGUAGGCGUGGAGGUGAUGGGAGGGGCGGAGGCGACGAUAUAAUGGGAAGCGAUGGUAAAAGCCACAGGUAGCACAACAACUCGCUUCCAACGGUGACUCCUUCACUUCCUUUACCAUCCCCACCUCUGGCAACAUGAACCCUAGAUAAUUGCAUCAUGUUUCCAUCACUGCACCAGGUUAUGUACGCGCUUAUGUUCUCCCUGGUGCUGCAAGGGAGCUCGCCACAACGAUGUAUCAAGAUCUGGCUGCUAGUUAACCGAAAUUGGAUGUCCCAUUCUACGGAUAGUGUCAUAUGGAUUACCCCUCUCUGUGUUGGAUUUCAUUUGUUGAACCAUCUUUGUUUUAACUCACCUUUUUGUGUUAUACUGUUAUGUAUUAAACAUCUAUGGUCAUCGCUAUCUAUAACUUCUAUUAA